rnacentral:rRNA from 1 species
UACGGGGGGGGCAAGCGUUGUUCGGAAUUACUGGGCGUAAAGGGCGCGUAGGCGGUUGGAUAAGUCAGCUGUGAAAACCACGAGCUCAACUUGUGGCCUGCAGUUGAAACUGUCUGGCUAGAGUGUGGGAGAGGGAAGUGGAAUUCCUGGUGUAGCGGUGAAAUGCGUAGAUAUCAGGAGGAACACCGGUGGCGAAGGCGGCUUCCUGGACCACAACUGACGCUGGAGGCGCGAAAGCUAGGGGAGCAAACAGG